rnacentral:lncRNA from 1 species
UAGUUUUGGAUCCAACACCCUCUGAGUUGAAAACUUUUUACGGUUGCCGACAACACCGGUUCAAGAGUACAUCGUAAGCUCGACGAAGCUCUCCAUUCUAGCGAACGAGUCAAGUUAUUACCAAGUCCAAAUAGAGUUUCAAAGCCGGGAACAACGAGUCGGUUGCGCCGUAUUGUUGCUGCACCUUUGAUUUCCUACAUAGGUAUUACAAAUAAAGCAUAAGCAUCAAACUUGUUAUAUAUUUUGUACAAUCCAAUGACAUUGUGAUGACCAUUCUCCCGUUACUAUUACAUUAUGUUGGUUUUUGUUUUUGUAUGGCGUCGUUUGAAUUUGAUGAUGUUGUGGAUUGUUUCCUU